GCAGGGGCUGUGGGGAGCGGUCGCUGCAGGGUUGGACGGAUGCUAGGCCAAGGUGGGGCCAGCGGCACGGGUUCCCAGGUGAGUGGGGCUGGGACCGGAUGGGAGGGAGUGACCUCCCCAUCACGUGGAGGCUGAGUUGAUGACGAUGGGAAGAGCAGCGGGGGCCAAAAAGGGAGGGACGGCCCGGCACGCCGUGCACUCGAUGCCCAACGGGCCCCCAUUUAAGGUAAGCAUUUGUUUAACUGCACCGUGACACACAGUAUUUUCUGAAUUUAAGUUGAACUCAGUUCAACAAAUGUUUAUGAACUGUCUACGGAGGAGAGGCACUGAAGUGCAGCGAUGACUCAACGCGUACUUGAGCUUCAAAAGGCUGCCAGGGAAUGUUGCAGUGAAUUUGCCUGACUCCAGCGAAUGGUGCCUGUGAAGUCCAGGAGCAUAGAGCUGGUGUAAGGAAGCUCAAAACCCAUUUGCAGAGAGAAAGAAGAUAAUGCCUCCGAAUGAGAACCUUUUCAGUUCCUGUUCUUUGGAAACACUUUGGGAAAUUUUUGAGGCCAGGAGUUCCAAGCUGCAGUGUGUGAUUAUCGUGUCUGUGAAUGGCCACGGCACUCCAGCCUGGGCAACAUAGCAAGACCUCAUCUCUUUAAAAAAGACAGGUCUGAGCAGCUCCUAGGGGCCAAUCCCUAUUCGAGGCAACAGCAGAGGGAAGACAAGAAGAUGGCUACAUGCACCCACCACCUGACUGCAGCAGCUCACAGGCCCCCCAGGGCUGGCAUUGCCUGACCCAGGGAAUGUGGCAAGGGGUGCCACCAAGGCAAACACAGGAGGAAUCUUUAGACGGUGUGCUGGUCCCCACACCAGCCUCUGACUUGAAGUGCCUCCAUUCCCCUAGCAAAUGCAUGAAACAAAAGUUGUGCAGGCCUCACGUCUGAUUGAUUCUCUUCUCUUUGUGGACAUACGUUAGACUUAGAAAUAAACUCGUAUUAAAAGAUAUUUUUAAUGGCUUUUUCUUCCCUUACUUAGAGGCAAAUAAUGAUAAGCUAUACUUCAGUAUGUAUUUUAGGCUUGAAAUCAU
rnacentral:lncRNA from 1 species